GACAGAGGGUGCAAACGUUGUUCGGAAUUACUGGGCGUAAAGCGCGCGUAGGCGGCUUUGCAAGUCGGGCGUGAAAUCCCACGGCUCAACCGCGGAAGUGCACUCGAAACUGCAGAGCUAGAGUCCUGGAGAGGAAGGUGGAAUGCUUGGUGUAGAGGUGAAAUUCGUAGAUAUCAAGCAGAACACCGGUGGCGAAGGCGGCCUUCUGGACAGUGACUGACGCUGAGACGCGAAAGCGUGGGGAGCAAACAGG
rnacentral:rRNA from 1 species